AGAGUUUGAUUCUGGCUCAGGAUGAACGCUAGCUACAGGCUUAACACAUGCAAGUCGAGGGGCAGCAUUGGAGUAGCAAUACUUCAGAUGGCGACCGGGCGCACGGGUGAGUAACACGUAUCCAACCUGCCGCUUUACUCGGGGAUAGCCUUUCGAAAGAAAGAUUAAUACCCGAUGGUAUAAAGAGUUCGCAUGUUCUCUUUAUUAAAGAAUUUCGGUAAGCGAUGGGGAUGCGUUCCAUUAGAUAGUUGGCGGGGUAACGGCCCACCAAGUCUACGAUGGAUAGGGGUUCUGAGAGGAAGGUCCCCCACAUUGGAACCUGAGACACGGUCCAAACUCCUACGGGAGGGCAGCAGUGAGGAAUAUUGGUCAAUGGACGAGAGUCUGAACCAGCCAAAAGGUUAGCGUGAAAGGAUGACUGCCCUAUGGGUUGUAAACUUCUUUUAUAAGGGAAUAAAGUGAGGGACGUGUCCCUUUUUGUAUGUACCUUAUGAAUAAGGAUCGGCUAACUCCGUGCCAGCCGCCGC
rnacentral:rRNA from 1 species